CUCGUAGGCGGUUCGGCAAGUCGGAUGUGAAAUCUCCACGCUUAACGUGGAGGGGCCAUUCGAAACUGCCGUGACUCGAGUCCGGUAGGGGAGUGUGGAAUUCCUGGAGUAGCGGUGAAAUGCGCAGAUAUCAGGAGGAACACCAGUAGCGAAGGCGGCACUCUGGGCCGGUACUGACGCUGAGGAGCGAAAGCGUGGGGAGCGAACA
rnacentral:rRNA from 1 species